GAGUUUGCUAGUAUCGAUUUUUCAUUUAGAGACGGAGAGAUGACAUGGCACCGAUUUGAUUAAGCGGUUGAUAUUCGUCGCUCUAAGCAUGACUAUACCUAGGGAUAGACUUCCAAAAAGCUUAUGACAAAGUUAAAUGGGAAUUUUUGCAGCAGUCACUUAGAAUGAAGGUUUUGACCUAAAAUGGUGCAAGUGGGUUAAAUCGUUUGUACAAG
rnacentral:lncRNA from 1 species